rnacentral:rRNA from 1 species
UAACACGUAGUCAACAUGCCCAGGGGACGUGGAUAACCUCGGGAAACUGAGAUUAAACCGCGAUAGGUCAAGAUUUCUGGAAUGGAUCCUGGCUUAAAUCUACAUGGCCCCUGGAUUGGACUGCGGCCGAUCAGGCUGUUGGUGAGGUAAUGGCCCACCAAACCUAUAACCGGUACGGGCUCUGAGAGGAGAAGCCCGGAGAUGGGCACUGAGACAAGGGCCCAGGCCCUAUGGGGCGCAGCAGGCGCGAAAACUCUGCAAUGGGCGAAAGCCUGACAGGGUUACUCUGAGUGAUUUCCGCUAAGGAGAUCUUUUGGCAGCUCUAAAAAUGGUGCAGAAUAAGGGGUGGGCAAGUCCGGUGUCAGCCGCCGCGGUAAUACCAGCACCCCGAGUGGUCGGGACGAUUAUUGGGCCUAAAGCAUCCGUAGCCGGUUGUGCAAGUCCUCCGUUAAAUCCAGCCGCUCAACGGAUGGGCUGCGGAGGAUACUACAGAACUAGGAGGCGGGAGAGGCAAGCGGUACUUAGUGGGUAGGGGUAAAAUCCUUUGAUCCAUUGAAGA